CCUACGGGAGGCAGCAGUGGGGAAUAUUGCGCAAUGGGCGAAAGCCUGACGCAGCGACGCCGCGUGAGGGAUGAAGGUCUUCUGAUCGUAAACCUCUGUCAGCAGGGAAGAACGGUCACUGUGCUAAUCAGCAGUGCAUUGACGGUACCUGCAAAGGAAGCACCGGCUAACUCCGUGCCAGCAGCCGCGGUAAUACGGGGGGUGCGAGCGUUAAUCGGAAUUACUGGGCGUAAAGCGCUCGUAGGCGGUAUGUCAAGUCAAGGGUGAAAUCCCCGCGCUCAACGUGGGAACUGCCUUUGAAACUGGCAAACUGGAGUGGGUGAGAGGAAAGUGGAAUGCCAGGUGUAGGAGUGAAAUCCGUAGAUAUCGGGAGGAACAUCAGUGGCGAAGGCGACUAUCUGGCACAUAACUGACGCUGAGGAGCGAAAGCGUGGGUAGCAAACAGGAUUAGAUACCCCAGUAGUC
rnacentral:rRNA from 1 species